AGUGUCCACUGAUUCUUUCCCUUGGGACCAGAGACCAGUGUCGGAGCCGCUGGGCGCGCUGGGCAUGGCGGGCGAGGUGGGCGAGUCGGGCGAGACGCUGCUGCUGGCGGACGACGACUCGCGCCUCGCCGACAUCAUCGAGGGCGCCUCCUGGAGCUCCGCCGACAGCGAGCCGCUCGCCGGUAACCCCCCGGCCCCCUGGCCCCGCGCUACUCGCCCACAUUACUUGGACGCUUGUCGAAUUUGUCGAUAGCUUUGUAUACGGUUCGGUCUCAUGAGUUGUAACGAGAUGUUCAAUCCCCAAUCUUACCAAAUAAAUUGACAUUUUAAUUAGAUAUAAAUUUCACAUAUGAGACUGGUAAUCGA